rnacentral:misc_RNA from 1 species
AAAGAGGUAAACGAUUUCUUUUGCAUAUGUAGUUGAGAUAAAUCUUCCCUUCAUAGCUUGAUUUGAUAUGCUUAAGCAAAGAAAAGUACAAGGUUUUAACUUUUCAAAAAGAAUGGGUCGAAUGGGUCUUUGUCAAUUAGCUUAUGCAUGUAACAAAUUUAGGUUGUUCUUGGUUGAUGCAUGUUAUAUUUUAGGUUUCUGAAAGUUAGUUGUAAUGUUAAGAGUUAGAAUACAUGUGUUGAAUAGAAGUUUUAUGCAUUUGAAAUUGAGUUUUAAUUGUUUAAAACUUUGAUGAUGGAUUGAGAAAUUGUUAGGGAUUUUAAGGAAUUUGUGAAUGCAUG